rnacentral:rRNA from 1 species
UAAUUUAAUGGCCGCGGUAUUUUGACUGUGCAAAGGUAGCAUAAUCAUUAGUUCAUUAAUUGUGGACUUGUAUGAAUGGUUGGACGAAAUAUUAACUGUCUCAUUGAUAUUAAUAUAACUUAAAUUUUUAGUUAAAAUGCUUAAAUUUUUUUAUUGGACGAGAAGACCCUAUAGAUUUUUAUUUUUGAAUUUUUUUAUUAUUUUGGUUUAUUUUUAAUAAUUUAAUUUAAAUAUUUUGUUGGGGUGACAGUGAGUUAUAAUUAACUCUUAUAUUUAGUAUACAUUUAUUUUUGUAUAUUUGACCUUUUAUUAUUGUUUAUUAGAUAUAAAUACCUUAGGGAUAACAGCGUAAUUCGUUUUGAGAGUUCAUAUCGACAAAUGAGAUUGCGACCUCGAUGUUGGAUUAAGAUUAUAUUUAGGUGUAGGUGCUUAAUUAUUAAGUCUGUUCGACUUUUAAAAUCUUACAUGAUCUGAGUUCAAA